CUGCUGGUCCAGAGCCCACCCUUGGAGAACCACUGGGCUAUAGAAUGAUGUCAAGGGCUGGAGAGGGAGGCUACAGAGUGGGUCUAGGUCCAGGUACAGUCUCAGAACCACACUGCAAAACUGGCUUAGUCAGGUAGCUGCUGUAUCUGCUGCUUCCACUGUGAACUCAAAAACCACAUUGCCUGUGCUGCAGGCCGGAAAGCUGCUGAACCAGGAAGCUGUGCUGAUGCUGCUGACUGCCCCUGAGGUUAGAGAUUGACUAGACAUAGUGCCACUGUCAUCCCUGCUGGAGAAGGUCCGAAGCACCUCCACCUCUGUGCUUCCAGAGGGGCACUGUGGUGGCCACUUAAAAUGCUCAGGCUAUACCAUGCACUAGAGCAUCUACCUGGGCAAGGGAUAUGCUGUAUGACACUCUCCUGAUGCUGGGCAUGGCUGUGAGCCAAAGCACCCAGGCAGCCCUGCCAUCAGAAGGGUAAACCACGGACACCUGAUGCCUUCCUGAAGGAAGAGCACUACGCCUGCCAAACCAUCAAGCGUUGAUGCUCCAGCGCCUUCUACCCGUGGUUCUCCAGCCUCAGCAGAAGAGAGAGAAAUUGAUGACCCUGUCGUUGUAGCAUCCCCAUCACCCAGCAAUUAAUUUUAGUUCAAUGCUUCAAACGCUCUUCAGGCGCAGUGUGCGUUCAGCUGUGUCAGCUAAUGGCACUGGAGACACAGAAAUGAAAGAGACAACGUGCCCUCAAGGAUCUCACAGUGUGUGGUGAGGUGGACACACACACACAUAUCUAAGCACAUGACAGUGAGAGGCACGUGGUCACGAGGUUGUGACGUGGAGCUGAGAGCUCAGAGGAAGGGCUUUGGAUCAAGUGUGGUCAGACCACACUCGGCCAUGAAAGUCUUUGAAGGUGGGGAAGGGGUGAAGAUGGUGAGGGGAUUCCACGGCUGGGAGAGGUACACUCCCUACACGUUCUAACCAACUGGCCGUGGGGAGGAAGCUGGAGGUCAGGACACAGCAAAUGGGGGAUCUCAGAAGUCUUAAUGAAGUAACUAUCCCUGAACACUGGGAUCAAUACUCAGCAUCCAGCUGUCAAAUCAACACCAAGCGUUUCACUCGUCGCCCAGCCUAGAGUGCAAUGGCGCUAUUUCGGCUCAUUAUAACCUCCGCCUCCCGGGUUCAAGCAAUUCUUCUGCUUCAGCGUCCCAAGUAGCUGGGAUUACAGCCGCCUCCUGGAGCAGAUUGUUAAGCUGAUGCGAGUCUGGGCUCUGCCUCACCACUUGUCUCAGAGACAGAGUCUUGCUCUGUCACCUAGGCUGGAGUGCAGUGGUGCCAUCACAGCUCACUGCAGCCUCGACCUCCCCGUGCUCAAGUGAUCCUCACACCUCAGCCUCCCGAGUAGCCGCGAUCACAAGUUAAACAAACACAGUUCUUUACAUCAAUGCUUCCGUCCCUGGCCAUCUGGUCUCCUGUCCCCUCCAGACCCAAAACCAUGGGCUGGGCUGCAGCAAAAUGAGGGUGUACUCAGUGCACUGAGGCCCAUGUACCAUGAGAGAUGGAGAAAGCCUUGGCCGGAGUUUAAGGAUUUGGGGCUGGGCACAGUGGCUCGUGCCUGUAAUCCUAGCACUUUGGGAGGCCAAGGCAGGAGGAUCACUUGAGGCCAAGAGUUUGAGACCAGCCUGAGCAACAUAGUGAGACUCUCAUUUCUAAAAAUAAAAAAGUUAGGCCUGGCACAGUGGCUCAUGCCUAUAAUCCCAGCAGUUUGGGAAGCUGAAUCAAGAGGAUCACUUGAGGCCAGGAGUUUGAGCCCAGCCUGGUCAACAUAGUGAGACUUUAUCACUACAAAAAGUUUUUAUUUAUUUAUUUUUUUUGAGACAGGGUCUCGAUUCAUCACUUAGGCUGGAGUGGAGUGUGCAAUCACAGCUCACAGCUCACAGCAGCCUCGACCUCCUGGGUUCAAGCCAUCCUCCCACCUCAGCCUCCUGAGUAGCUGGGACUACAGGCAUACACCACCAUGUCUGGCUAAAUUUUUGUACUUUUUGUAGAGACAGGGUUUCGCCAUGUUGCCCAGGCUGGUCUCUAGCUCCUGGGCUCAAGCAAUCUGCCUGCCUCAGCCUCCCAGAGGCCUGGAACUACAGGCGUGAGCCGCUGCUCUUGGCCAUUUUUAAUUUAAGAGACAGAGUCUCGCUUUGUUACCCAGGCUGGAGUGCAGUACCCUUACUGCAGCCUUGAACUACUGGGCUCAAGCCAUCCUCCCACCUCAGCCUCUCAAGUAGCUGGGACUACAGGUGUGUGUCCCCAUGCCCAGCUGACUGAGCUACCACCAUGCCACUGCAUGCCAGUUGUGACAAAGUGAGACCCUGUCUCUAAAAAAUAAUUAAAUAAAAUGUUUAAUGGUGUUCUGGGUCCUUACUUCAUGGACACUUUCCACUAUGCAGCCUGCCACUGAUUUCAUGUAAAGGCAAAACCAAAAGAGAUCCUUUGCUAAAUUAUCCCAAGUCUUACAAUAUGGAGAUUGGAAAAUGUUUUCUAUCGAGAUAGAGGAAACUGACUGGAUGAUUUUGCCAGAUCAUCAUGCACAUUGGUGAGUUCCAAGGCCCCACCUCCACCCCAUAAGACCCUAGGUUAGGCAGGAACACUGGGGGACCCCUUUGUCUCCAUUGGCCACACCUGGGCCUGCCUCUACCAAAGGGUAAGAGACCAGUUAAGCUUCUCAUGUUGGGGAAAGACAAGUCCCCUCCCUAUGGCUGCAUAGAAGGAGUUCAGUGUAUCCUUAGGGCCGGGGGCAUCUGUGGCCUGGGCUUUAUACCUUGAGGAAUCUCUGUUCUGCAGGGUCUAGAUGCUCAGAGUGGCAGCUGAGAGGCAGGAAGGAAGAGGUAAAGAGGGCCACUGGCAGCCCUGGUUACAAAAUUCGGGUAUCAGGUGCCCCCAGCCAGCCUAGGAUAUGCAAGUCGCCCAGGCCUGGCUCUUCCUGCAGUCGGCACACGUUCGGGAGGCUGCUUGUCAGCCUCUAGUAACUUUAUUUUCCUCUUUUAGGAUGCUCUCCCUGGCCAUUUUAACCUAAUGGAUCAGGAUAAACAAGUUAGGGAAGCAGAAGGAAGAGCACAUAGGAGCAUUUCCUUGCAGGCUGGAGUACUAGGGUCCCCCAGGGAAUAAGAAAAGGGCUUCUCUUCUUGCUCAUAGGAAAAUACAUUUUACUAGAUGAGAUACUCUCUGGUGUUCUGAACUGGCAAACACUGGGCCAGGGAGAAAGGAGGCCAGGAGAGGAAGGUGGAGAGGUUUCUGCUGGAAUUUGGGCCUUCGGGCCACUCGCUGAUAGAUCUGGUUGCAGGGGGCGAUAUUUAAAAUGUUUAACAGGCGGGCCUGACCCAUCAGACCUGUCACCGCAGGGCCUCCAGAGUCAGCUCCCGGAGGCCCCCUGCUGGGCCAUAUAUGCCCCCGUUUGGUUGCAGGAUGGUGGGGAGGUGUGGGGGCUCCAGGGGAGGGGCCAGGGCCUGGGCUGCUUACCACCCAGUGUGGAAGCAUUUCUAUGUGAGCACAAGGUGUGGCUGCAGCCCUUCACAGCAGCUGAAUGUCAGCCCUGGUGGGGUUAGCAGCCGGUGGUCCUGCUGGCCUCUCAGGUUGCCUGGCACUCCCUAUAUGCUUAUUCCAAAUCAUGCCAGCCUCAUGCAGAUCCCGGGCAGAAUUGCAAACAAAAGACUUGUUUGCAGAAUUGCAAAAUUCUCCCAUCCAGAGCCAGGCCAUGCACAAAUGUCCCAGUGUAUGGUGGGGUGGCCUCUUUGCCUGCAGUAACUCGUGCAAUUCUGACAUGAGGAGCAAGCAGUUCUUGCUUUAUCAGGAGGAAUCUUCCUCUCCCUUUAUCACCCUCUGGUUCCAGGAUACCGUGUACAUUUCCGCCCCCAUCGCCGUGCAGCUGGAACACACUGUCAGAAUGAAUGCCUCAUUGCAUCAGGAAUCCAGAGCUCUUCGUCUGUAAAACAGGAGGGGUGGGCUUCCAGAACCACUAACAGAUGUCUAAGUGAAAAAAACUCCACACCUGCCCAACCGCCAGCUUCCUUUCUCAUUCUUGAGGGCUCCCAGUAACAAGACAUUAGAAAAAUGUGUUGUGCGAGCUGCGGUUUCCACUUUCCCUGAAGCCUAGCUAUCUAAUCUCCUGGGAGUGAGAAAUCAGGCAGCGAAUUGUCUAAGAUGGGAGGCAAGAGGUGCCAUAGGAGGCCAUGUACAUGUUGCCCAGGAGGCCUGGUCGCCCAGGACGCCUGCUUCUGCAAACCCAAUCGGGGAUGACAGCAUGGGCUGGCCAAGGCGGGUCUUGACAGAGAAGCCCAUGAAAAUCCCUGCUGGUUGUCUUAGUCUGAAAACUUCUGCUCUGAUGACGCUUGACAUGGCAAAGCUUUAUUUCAUUAUUUUUAUGUUUAUACAUAUUAUUUUUUGCCCUUUAUUUUUCCUUUUUGAGACAGAGUCUCCCUCUUUCUCCCAGGUUGGAAUGCAGUGGCGCAAUCUCCACUCACUGCAACCUCCACUUCCCAGGUUCAAGCAAUUCUUGUGUCUCAGUCUCCUGAGUAGCUGGGGUUACAGGCGCACACCACUACACUAUUUUUUUUUUUUUUUUUUUUUUGGUAUUUUUAGUAGAGAUAGGUUUCACCAUGUUUGCCAGGCUGGUCUGGAACUCCCGGCCUCAAGUUAUCUGCCCUCCUCAGCCUCCCAAAAUGCUGGGAUUACAGGCGUGAGCCACUGUGCCCGGCCUAUUUCUACAUAUUAUUUUUACUUCUAAUCCACAUAUAUAGUUUUAAAAUUCAGAUAUUUACAAGCUUUAGUAAAAAUUCAUAGCCUUGUAGCCUCCUGCCCCCCCAUUCUUGCCUUCAGGUACUGCUGCCCAGAGUCAGCCACUGUCUAUGACUCCUGGUAUUUGCAGCAAUCAUUCCAAAUGAUGUGCUUAUAGAGUUGUAUCUUUCUAAAGCUUAGAAAUGAUCUCCUGACUUACUGGAAGAUGAAGAGGUAGCUUUUUCCUCCUCCCCCCAGGACGUGCUUCUUCCUCACUAAGGAACAGAGUUCCUGUAUUUCUAUCUAUUUUACAUGCAUGCCUUUGAUUAUAAGGUUUGCCAUUAUUUUAUGAGGCACUACAAAAGAAGAGAAGUGCAAGUAAAGUAACUAUGAUGCAACACUUUCUCAUCACAUUGACUAAAAAAUGUGUUCUGAUUUCCAAAAUGUUAAAAUGGGAAAAAUAUGUGCAUUUUAGAAUAUUACAAAUUACAGGACAGCACAUCUUCUGAUAAAAUCCCUGGUCAGUAUUUGUAUUAUUUUGCCUAUGUAAAUAUUGUCUGCAGUGUACUGCGUUUACAUUUCUGCUCAUGUAUAUCUUUUCUCCUCGGGAGUUAAUAAUUGCCUUGUCUUUUUUAAUUCAUAGGGUUUUUUUUUUUUUUGGCAUUUAUGAGUAAUUCAUUCCCAAGCUCUCCUCAGUGUGGUGAACACACUAGUAAUCUUGCCAUUGCAUUUCUCUUCCUGUGCAGACGUCCUCCGGGAACUAUCCUUCUGCUUCAAACUCAGGCUGGUUUCUCCUCAGGUCCACUAUAGUUACAGCCCAGAUUUCAGCGUCCUCCUGGAAAUCAUUUUUCCUUCUCUCCUGUGUUAGAUUCCCUGUUUCCUAGAGCUUGUAUCUUUUUCUUGGUUAAUUCUUUGUUUUGUUGGAGCACAUCCUCUAGUAGCUUCCUGAGAAAGGGUUCAUGGCAGCUAAAUAUUUGGAGACCUUGUAAAUGUCCCUUGCACUUGUCUGGGCAUAGAACUCAACUUCAGGAAUAUUUUUUCUUCAUGUUAGAGGCUUUCUUCAAAUGUCUGGUGAUUUACUGUUGACACUCAAGUGACGUGUGCAUGAGUGAAGCUUGUCAACCAAUGGGCUCAUUGUCAGGUGAUUCAGUGGAGAGCUGGAUGUUUCAUUAAGGAACCCACUAGGUCAUUCUCUAUAAGUCUUUUUUCUCCAACUGGUCAGCUUCCCUAAUGAUGAAUCCUCGAAUCUUCUGCCCAUGGGGUAGAACCCUCAUUGCCAACAUUCUGGGAUCUAAGAGGGGGAAGGAGGCUGUGGUGUCCUAUAAUCCAGAGUGCAGUUGGGUGCAGUGGCUCACUCAGGAGUCCCAGCCACUUGGGAGGCUGAGGCAGGAGGUCUGCUUGAGACCAGGAGUUCAAGACCAGCCUGGGCAACAUAGUGAGACCCCAUCUCUACAAAAUACGAAAAUUAGCUGGGCAUGUUGGCAUGUUCCCAUGGUCCCAGCUACUCAGGAAUUUGAGGCUGCGGGGAGCCACGAUCAUGCCAUUGUACUUUAGCCUGGGUGACAGCAAGACAAAACAACAAUGACGAUAAAGCACGGAGUGUCUUUUAAUUCCGUUUCUAUGGUGUGUCACACGCCGGGUCUUGGUUGUGCCUGGUGUCCUUGAGUCCAGUCCCUCUCGGAUUCAACCUUUCCUCCCGAGGCUGGGCAGGGACAGUGGUGUGACAGUGCAGCUGUGCAUAGGCCUACAUAGGGAUGGAAAUAAAUGUGGAGUCUUAUAGCUCCAUGUACAAAUUCUCAACACAUUUGUUUUCAGCCCACCUGCACCCAUGUUCUGCACAGAGGGAACCAAUUUCUGCUUUUUCUAAGAUUCUGUGGUGUAGCUGAUUUGCUUCUUACAGAUUUCUCUCCCUUUGAGCUUAGGUUGCAGCUUUAUCUUCUCUGCUAAAUUAGUUGCUUCUCAUUCAUCUGCUUUUUUUUUUUAUUUCCAUAACAUUGUUAACAUUUUUAUCUACUGUUGUCUCUGUUCCUAUUUUCUCUUUAUACUUAUGGGUCUAGGCAGUGGUGUGCUGGUAAGUGCUUGAUAAAACAGCUCUUGCGGGGAAGGGAGGAACCCUGAGUGGUAGCAGUCCAAUUUCUGUGGUGUAAAUAUUCCUAAUGUGGCUAAUUUCAAGGCACCAAAAGGACAUCCCUGAACAUGCAGUUGGAAAGAAAAGCAAAGUAGCACACCAUUAUCCAGAUGGUUUCUGGCUUAAAAUGGUUCCACUUAACGAUUUUUUGACUUUACGAUGGUGUGAAAGUGAUACACAUUCAGUAGAAACAGUACUUCAGUACAGUAUUCAGGAAAUCACAUGAGAUAUUCAACACUUUAUUAUAAAAUAAGCUAUACGUUACAUGAUUUUGCCCAACUGUAGGCUAAUGUAAGUGCUCUGAGCUCGUUUAAGGUAGGUUAGGCUAAGCUCUGAUGUUCAGUAGGUUAGGUGUAUUAAAUGACUUUCUGGUUUAUGAUACUUUCUUUCUUUCUUUUUCUUUUUUUUUUUUUUUUUGAGAUGGAGUCUUGCUCUGUCACUCAGGCUGGAGUACAGUGGCACAAUCUCAGCUCAAAUGCAACCUCUGCCUCCUGGGUUCAAGCAAUUCUUCUGUCUCAGCCUCCUGAGUAGCUGGGACUACAGGCACCUGCCACCAUACACAGAUAAUUUUUGUAUUUUUAGUAGAGACAGGGUUUCACCAUAGUAGUCAGGCUGGUCUUGAACUCCUGACCUCAGGUGAUCCACAUGCCUCAGCCUCUCAAGGUGCCAGGAUUACAGGUGUGAGCCACCGUGCCUGGCCUGGUUUAUGAUCUUUUCAACUUAAAAUGAGUUUAUCAUAAGUCAAGAAGCAUCUGUGUAAUAUUUCCACUAUACACAUACAGUAGACAUGAACAAUAGAAAAAAGUAACCUUAAGAGAAUAUAUAAUUAUAAAAAUAUUAUGAAGUGACGAGUAUUGAGAUUUUAUUAGCUUUAUUUAUUUAUUUAUUUACUGAGAUGGAGUUUCUCUCUGUCGUCCAGGCUGGAAUGCAGUGGUGCGAUCUCGGCUCACUGCAACCUCUGCCUCCCAGUUCAAGCGAUCCUCGUGCCUCAGCCUCCUGAGUAGCUGAGAUUACAGGCACCUGCCACCAUGCCUGGCUAAUUUUUGUAUUUGUAGUAGAGACAGGAUUUCACUAUGUUGGCCAGGCUGGUCUCAAACUCCUGACCUCAGGUGACCCGCCUGUCUUGGCUUCCCAAAAUGCUGGGAUUAUAGGUGUGAGCCACCCCACCUGGCCUUUAUUAACUUUAUUUUUAACAUAAUUUUAAAAAUUGUAAGCCUAUACAGUUUAGUUUUUUAAAUAGCUAUGUGCAACAACCAGCUAGCAAAAUUCCCGACAAUUUAACAAUCAGUUCUCAAAAGUCAGUGUCAGCUGGCCCUAAUGCACCACUGAGUUUAUGCCUUUGUAAUGGUUUUCUUAUCUUUUCAGUAUAUUAAUCAAUUGUUUUUAAAUUUAUUUCUCUAUAGCAUACAGUUACCUCUCCUCACAUAUUGUUAACACAUUGGUAAUCCAUCCAAAAUUCACAUUGUCUAAUUGUAGCUCUCAAACUGUGGUGAAGAAAAGAUGACACCUCAGUAGAAUGAGAUGAUGCUUGACAUGAGGGAUAAAUAAAAGGGUUAAAAUAAAAUGAGGUGAGGGGAGGUCAUCAGUAUCCACAGGUGGUCAAAGAAAAGUGGUGUCAACACGAUUGGGCAGAAGGAGACUGAUACAGUUACUGCCUUGUCCCAGCAACACAAUUGCUAGCAAUACAGUUGCUAGGACAAGGUGGUAACAGUACCAAACUUCCAGUUCCCAUUUAAUCUCAGCUUUUUUUGUUUUUUGGGAUUUUUGUUUGAGAUGGAGUUUCACUCUGUCGCACAGGCUGGGCACGAUCUCGGCCCACUGCAACCUCCACCUUCUGGGUUCAAGCAAUUGUCCUGUCUCAGCCUCCCAAGUAGCUGGGAAUAAAGGCGCCUGCC
rnacentral:lncRNA from 1 species